ensembl:lncRNA
GGUAGGAUUACUGUAAAAUAACAGUGCGCUGCUGGCAACUUUUGCUGCCAGCUCUUUACUGUAAAUUUACAGGGAAAUUUCUUAGUGUGUAGAUGAUGGAGCCGGAGAACCAGAGGUAGAUGAUGGAGGCUGGAGAACCAGAGGUAGAUGAUGGAGGCUGGAGAACCAGAGGUAGAUGAUAGAGGCUGGAGAACCAGAGGUAGAUGAUAGAGGCUGGUGAACCAGAGGUAGAUGAUGGAGCCGGAGAACCAGAGGUAGAUGAUGGAGCCGGAGAACCAGAGGUAGAUGAUGGAGGCUGGAGAACCAGAGGUAGAUGAUGGAGCCGGAGAACCAGAGGUAGAUGAUGGAGGAUGGAGAACCAGUGGUACAUGAUGGAGGCUGGAGAACCAGAGGUAGAUGAUGGAGGUUGGAGAACCAGAGGUAGAUGAUGGAGCCGGAGAACCAGAGGUAGAUGAUAGAGGCUGGAGAACCAGAGGUAGAUGAUGGAGCGGGAGAACCAGUGGUAGAUGAUGGAGGCUGGAGAACCAGAGGUAGAUGAUGGAGGCUGGAGAACCAGUGGUAGAUGAUGGAGGCUGGAGAACCAGAGGUAGAUGAUGGUGGUUGGAGAACCAGAGGUAGAUGAUGGAGCCGGAGAACCAGAGGUAGAUGAUAGAGGCUGGAGAACCAGAGGUAGAUGAUGGAGCCGGAGAACCAGUGGUAGAUGAUGGAGGCUGGAGAACCAGAGGUAGAUGAUGGAGCCUGAGAACCAGUGGUAGAUGAUGGAGCCGGAGAACCAGAGGUAGAUGAUGGAGCAGGAGAACCAGAGGUAGAUGAUGGAGCAGGAGAACCAGAGGUAGAUGAUGGAUCCUGGAGGAGGAGGACCUUCUGGAGGAGCUUCCUUCCUACAGGGAGGAUGGAGCAGCCUGGUGCUGGAGGAGCUGCUGAAGGUCUCCAGUGUGUCCAGGAUGAGGAUGGUUGAAGUCUAUCAAUGAUCUGCAGUGUCUCUGUGUUCAUCAAUACUGCAGAUUGAUUCAUGUAUUGAUCAGUGAUCAGAAAAAUCCCAUCUUUCUCUGGUGACAGAUUCAAAGCUCAGAACCUCCAGAACACUUCAAGUCUCCGUGAAGUCACGUGACCGGCGGACGUGUGGCCCCUCCUCCUCCGUGAGGACGAUGGACAGGUGAGUGUUUACCUGGACACACCUGGGGCCGCCUGCAGCUCAUUGGUGGAUCGGCUGACAGGGAGUUUAAAUGUGGGAUGGUCAGAGUUCUUCCACAUCUCCAGGAUCUUUGAAAGGAACAUGAAGCUGCUGGAGAAACCUGAUCGCUGAUUGGUCACUUAUUGACCACUGAUUGAUCACUUAUUGAUCUCGUAUUGAUCAUUGAUUGGUCACUUAUUGAUCACUGAUUGACAACUGAUUGGUUACUUACUGAUCAAUUAUUGAUCACGUAUUGAUCACUGAUUGGUCACUGAUUGAUCACUUAUUGAUCUAUUAUUGAUCAUUGAUUGGUCAUUGAUUGGUCACUUAUUGAUCACUGAUUGGUCACUGAUCAGUUAUUGAGCACUGAUUGGUCACUGAUUGAUCACUUAUUGAUCUCUUAUUGAUCACUUAUUGAUCAUUGAUUGGUCACUUAUUGAUCACUGAUUGGUCACUUAUUGACCACUGAUUGGUCACUGAUUGAUCACUUAUUGAGCACUGAUUGAUCACCGAUUGGUCACUGAUUGAUCACUUAUUGACCACUUAUUGAUCACUUAUUGAUGAGUUAUUGAUCACUGAUUGGCUGGUUUCCUGGCUGUAGAACCAGGUUCCUCAGCAGUAGCUCCCAUUAAUUCCAGACUGUUUCAGGGUUCUUCCAGACCUGGAGAACAUCUGAGAUUCUAGAUGUUAAAACCAACCUUCUGCUCCAUAGUGAUCAAUAAUAGGUAUUGAUCGGCUCAGCUUCUUAUUCCAUGUUUUCUGGGUUGUUUUCUAACCUUUUUCUCAGCAGUAGAAGCUAGAUAUUUAGCUGCUGUUACUGCUGACCAAGAGGAUAAACUGACUGAUGGAAAACAGUCCAAAGAAUUAGUCUGAUCCUGAUAAUAUGAGGUAGAGUGAGACAUUUAAUCAAGGCUGACGAUGGGAUGAAAAGAUGGAAAAUAGAAGAGAGGACAUAGCUUCGCUCUACACAUUCUUUAGGAACACUGUUGGAUGAUGGAAAUGACAAAAACAAGACAAAACAACAAAAACAAGACAAAAUGACAAAAUCGAGACACAAAACGACAAAAACAAGAUAGAAAAUGAGAAAAACAAGACAGAAAAUGACAAAAACAUCAUCACCAGGUCGUGCUAACAUGUUGUGGGGAAACAUUCCAUGAAUAAUAAUUGUUUUAAAAAUUAUGUUGAUUAAAAAAUGUUUCCACCAUUACAGAAACAUCAAUGAAAAAAGAAAAACCAAAAAAGGGAGAUGUAAAUUCGAUUCUGUUUUAUUAGAGAUCCAGUUUGGUCAUCAGGGGGGUGGACAAGAGAAAAAUGGCAUUUUAGGAGAAACUCCAGACUUAUUUGGAAUUUUUAAAAAUUAAAA